rnacentral:rRNA from 1 species
CAGUAGCCACGGGAAUACGUAGGUCCCGAGCGUUGUCCGGAUUUAUUGGGCGUAAAGGGCUCGCAGGCGGUUUCUUAAGUCUGAUGUGAAAGCCCCCGGCUCAACCGGGGAGGGUCAUUGGAAACUGGGAAACUUGAGUGCAGAAGAGGAGAGUGGAAUUCCACGUGUAGCGGUGAAAUGCGUAGAGAUGUGGAGGAACACCAGUGGCGAAGGCGACUCUCUGGUCUGUAACUGACGCUGAGGAGCGAAAGCGUGGGGAGCGAACAGGAUUAGAUACCCGUGUAGUCCCUGUCUCUUAUAC